GCCUGUUUGGCUCAGUGGAUAGAGCAUUGGUCUCCAGACCAAAGGGUCCUGGGUUCAAUUCCAUUUAAGGGCA
rnacentral:tRNA from 1 species